GGCUGAGAACCCAGAUGGUCCUUUCCAUCCAAAAAUCCACAUAUUUCAGAGUUCUACAAAUCGGUAAAUCUCUGUGGCUUCAGUGAUGUGAAAUUGGGUCAGUCUGGGAUGGUUUUUCCGAUGAUUUGGGAUUUGCUGGCUUGAUUGAAAGGGGUUGAAUUGGACAGCAAAUUAAACAGUAAUCAUAAUUAGGCUAUUUAUUCAGCCUAUU
rnacentral:misc_RNA from 1 species